rnacentral:rRNA from 1 species
UACGGAGGGUGCAAACGUUGCUCGGAAUCAUUGGGCGUAAAGCGCACGUAGGCGGUCCAGCAAGUCGGGUGUGAAAGCCCUCGGCUUAACCGAGGAAGUGCAUUCGAAACUACUGGGCUUGAGUACUGAAGAGGAUCGCGGAAUUCCCGGUGUAGAGGUGAAAUUCGUAGAUAUCGGGAGGAACACCAGUGGCGAAGGCGGCGAUCUGGGCAGAUACUGACGCUGAGGUGCGAAAGCGUGGGGAG